UACCAGACUCCUACGGGAGGCAGCAGUGGGGAAUAUUGCACAAUGGGGGAAACCCUGAUGCAGCGACGCCGCGUGAGCGAUGAAGUAUUUCGGUAUGUAAAGCUCUAUCAGCAGGGAAGAAGAUGACGGUACCUGACUAAGAAGCCCCGGCUAACUACGUGCCAGCAGCCGCGGUAAUACGUAGGGGGCAAGCGUUAUCCGGAUUUACUGGGUGUAAAGGGAGCGUAGACGGCGGCGCAAGCCAGAUGUGAAAGCCCGGGGCUCAACUCCGGGACUGCAUUUGGAACUGUGCGGCUGGAGUGUCGGAGAGGCAGGCGGAAUUCCUAGUGUAGCGGUGAAAUGCGUAGAUAUUAGGAGGAACACCAGUGGCGAAGGCGGCCUGCUGGACGAUGACUGACGUUGAGGCUCGAAAGCGUGGGGAGCAAACAGGAUUAGAUCCCCGAGUA
rnacentral:rRNA from 1 species